rnacentral:rRNA from 1 species
CGGGAGUGCGGCUGCUUACCAUGCAGUCGACGGUGAAGCAGAGCUUGCUCUGUGGAUCAGUGGCGAACGGGUGAGUAACACGUGAGCAACCUGCCCCGGACUCUGGGAUAAGCGCUGGAAACGGCGUCUAAUACCGGAUACGAGAUUCCACCGCAUGGUGAGUUUCUGGAAAGAUUUUUUGGUCUGGGAUGGGCUCACGGCCUAUCAGCUUGUUGGUGAGGUAAUGGCUCACCAAGGCGUCGACGGGUAGCCGGCCUGAGAGGGUGACCGGCCACACUGGGACUGAGACACGGCCCAGACUCCUACGGGAGGCAGCAGUGGGGAAUAUUGCACAAUGGGCGGAAGCCUGAUGCAGCAACGCCGCGUGAGGGAUGACGGCCUUCGGGUUGUAAACCUCUUUUAGCAGGGAAGAAGCGAAAGUGACGGUACCUGCAGAAAAAGCGCCGGCUAACUACGUGCCAGCAGCCGCGGUAAUACGUAGGGCGCAAGCGUUAUCCGGAAUUAUUGGGCGUAAAGAGCUCGUAGGCGGUUUGUCGCGUCUGCUGUGAAAUCCCGAGGCUCAACCUCGGGUCUGCAGUGGGUACGGGCAGACUAGAGUGCGGUAGGGGAGAUUGGAAUUCCUGGUGUAGCGGUGGAAUGCGCAGAUAUCAGGAGGAACACCGAUGGCGAAGGCAGAUCUCUGGGCCGUUACUGACGCUGAGGAGCGAAAGGGUGGGGAGCAAACAGGCUUAGAUACCCUGGUAGUCCACCCCGUAAACGUUGGGAACUAGUUGUGGGGUCCAUUCCACGGAUUCCGUGACGCAGCUAACGCAUUAAGUUCCCCGCCUGGGGAGUACGGCCGCAAGGCUAAAACUCAAAGGAAUUGACGGGGACCCGCACAAGCGGCGGAGCAUGCGGAUUAAUUCGAUGCAACGCGAAGAACCUUACCAAAGGCUUGACAUACACCAGAACGCCCUAGAAAUAGGGAACUCUUUGGACACUGGUGAACAGGUGGUGCAUGGUUGUCGUCAGCUCGUGUCGUGAGAUGUUGGGUUUAAGUCCCGCAACGAGCGCAACCCCUCGUCUAG